rnacentral:rRNA from 1 species
UACGGAGGGGGUUAGCGUUGUUCGGAAUGACUGGGCGUAAAGCGCGCGUAGGCGGAUCAUCAAGUCGGGGGUGAAAUCCCGGGGCUCAACCCCGGAAUGGCCUUCGAGACUGGUGGUCUUGAGUUCGAGAGAGGUGAGUGGAAUUCCGAGUGUAGAGGUGAGAUUCGUAGAUAUUCGGAGGAACACCAGUGGCGAAGGCGGCUCACUGGCUCGACACUGACGCUGAGGUGCGAAAGCGUGGGGAGCAAACAGG